rnacentral:rRNA from 1 species
UGGGGAAUAUUGCACAAUGGGCGAAAGCCUGAUGCAGCAACGCCGCGUGAGUGAUGAAGGUCUUCGGAUUGUAAAGCUCUGUCUUUUGGGACGAUAAUGACGGUACCAAAGGAGGAAGCCACGGCUAACUACGUGCCAGCAGCCGCGGUAAUACGUAGGUGGCGAGCGUUGUCCGGAUUUACUGGGCGUAAAGGGUGCGUAGGCGGAUGUUUAAGUGAGAUGUGAAAUACCCGGGCUUAACUUGGGUGCUGCAUUUCAAACUGGAUAUCUAGAGUGCAGGAGAGGAGAAUGGGAUUCCUAGUGUAGCGGUGAAAUGCGUAGAGAUUAGGAAGAACACCAGUGGCGAAGGCGAUUCUCUGGACUGUAACUGACGCUGAGGCACGAAAGCGUGGGUAGCAAACAGGAUUAGAUACCCUGGUAGUCCACGCCGUAAACGAUGAGUACUAGGUGUAGGAGGUAUCG